rnacentral:rRNA from 1 species
GACGUAGGGCGCGAGCGUUGUCCGGAUUUAUUGGGCGUAAAGAGCUCGUAGGCGGCUUGUCGCGUCGACUGUGAAAACCCGCGGCUCAACCGUGUGGUCUGCAGUCGAUACGGGCAGGCUAGAGUUCGGUAGGGGAGACUGGAAUUCCUGGUGUAGCGGUGAAAUGCGCAGAUAUCAGGAGGAACACCGGUGGCGAAGGCGGCUUCCUGGACCGACACUGACGCUGAGGCGCGAAAGCUAGGGGAGCAAACGGG